GGGUUGUGAGGUUAAGCGACUAAGCGUACACGGUGGAUGCCCUGGCAGUCAGAGGCGAUGAAGGACGUGCUAAUCUGCGAAAAGCGUCGGUAAGGUGAUAUGAACCGUUAUAGCCGGCGAUGUCCGAAUGGGGAAACCCAGUGUGAUUCGUCACACUAUCGUUAACUGAAUACAUAGGUUAACGAGGCGAACCGGGGGAACUGAAACAUCUAAGUACCCCGAGGAAAAGAAAUCAACCGA
rnacentral:rRNA from 2 species